rnacentral:rRNA from 1 species
UACGUAGGGUGCGAGCGUUUAAUCGGAAUUACUGGGCGUAAAGCGUGCGCAGGCGGUUUUGUAAGUUUGUCGUGAAAGCCCCGGGCUCAACCUGGGAAUUGCGAUGAAGACUGCAAGGCUUGAAUCUGGCAGAGGGGGGUAGAAUUCCACGUGUAGCAGUGAAAUGCGUAGAGAUGUGGAGGAACACCGAUGGCGAAGGCAGCCCCCUGGGUCAAGAUUGACGCUCAUGCACGAAAGCGUGGGGAGCAAACAGG